GACGAACGCUGGCGGCGUGCUUAACACAUGCAAGUCGAACGGAAAGGCCCUGCUGUUGUGGGGUGCUCGAGUGGCGAACGGGUGAGUAACACGUGAGUAACCUGCCCUGGACUGUGGGAUAACUUCAGGAAACUGGGGCUAAUACCGGAUAGGAGCUCCUGCUGCAUGGUGGGGGUUGGAGAGUUUCGGCGGUUGGGGAUGGACUCGCGGCUUAUCAGCUUGUUGGUGGGGUAGUGGCUUACCAAGGCUUUGACGGGUAGCCGGCCUGAGAGGGUGACCGGCCACAUUGGGACUGAGAUACGGCCCAGACUCCUACGGGAGGCAGCAGUGGGGAAUAUUGCACAAUGGGCGGAAGCCUGAUGCAGCGACGCCGCGUGCGGGAUGACGGCCUUCGGGUUGUAAACCGCUUUCGGCUGGGACGAAGCGUGAGUGACGGUAAUGGGUAAAGAAGCACCGGCUAACUACGUG
rnacentral:rRNA from 1 species